rfam:Oblitimonas alkaliphila strain E5571 chromosome.
AUAACUCGGUGGAGAUGCACAAUAAACAUUGCGCGUUGCUUAGAUAAACUAGACGCUUCAUCACGUCCGCCUGUGUUUACUGAUUCCUCCUCCCUGUGUACUCGGUGCUGAUUCAUCGGCUCUUACUAGCCCGCUAUCACGCGCAAGUCAUUAAUUCUUGCUGCUUGUGCCCUAGCUCAGAAUCGCACUGUUUGUGGAGACGCCGUCGCCGCCAAGCUUAGGCUUGGUUUGCUAGACACAGCUUAACCCAAGCUGAGCGCACCGCCUGUAUUCUACGUGAGCAUCACUGCCGCACGGCCCUACUUGGAUUCCGGAAAGUGA